GGCUCUGUCUCAAAAAAACUAAAACAAAAAAACCAUGGAACCAGCAGAGUGUCUCAGCAUCAUCAGCUGUCUGAUAGGUGAGAGCCCACUUGGAGCCAGAGAUGGGGAGGGCUAUUGUGCUAGCUUGCUGAGGGCUGAGUCGGUCCUUGGCCUUGACAGAAGGGGCCGGCAGAGGGGCACUGCAGGAAGCCAGCAAGCAGGAGGCCUCACUCAGCCUUGGAUGGGGCAGAGAGAUCGCCAAGAAGGCGCAGUAAGGAGCUGUCUGCCUCCCGAGAGGGUUUUGGGUGAGGACAGACUUUGAGUCUGUCUUGAGGAGAGUGGGGGGGAAGCAGGAGGAAGAAUGGGGAGCCACCACUUACUCUAUGUCUAUUGAAUGCCAAUUCUUCAUAUAUGUAGCAGUCCUGCUAAGUAGUGGUUAUUACGCCUAUUUUUCAGAUAUGGAAGCUGAGGCUCGCAGAAGUAUAGUGGCUCAUCUGGAGUCACAGCCAGAAAACAGAGGCACAGGAAUGUGAACACAGGACCCAGGAUCAGUAUACCUGGAGCCUGGCCCACCGCACACAGUAAAAACCACAGGAGGGCAGAGGAGGGGGAGGUCACCACAACCCUUGGUGCACGACCACCCACAGGAAUACAGAGGUCUCUUUUCACUGUGCUGGCAUGGCUCAUGAUCAGUCAGUAUACAGGAGACACAGACCCUCCCACAGUGCCCCUUCCACGUUCACAGCAGACAUUGCUAAUCAAUCACAGCAUGCCUCCAAGCACCAACACCAACAAUCAGGGUUGGUAGACUGGAUGGACCAAUUCGCCAUCCUGGGCUAGUUCUUUGAUUUUAGUGGCUGAACUGUUCAAUGCAGCAGCCACGAGCCACAUAUCGUUACGGGGUGCCUAAAAUGGAACUCACAUCUAAAGUGCAUUUAAGUACAAACAGCAUGUUGGAUUUCGAGACACAGUCUAACAAAAAAAAAAAAUGUGGCUUACGUUCGGUUUCCGUUGGACAGCGCUGGUCUCGAGUUCAAGCUGUGCCAACAGCGCCCCUGGUGGCCGAAGUGGGUAAAUUCAUCUGACCAAGGGCCUGUUUUUCUACUGGAGACCCUGCGCAGGUUACUCCACGGUUCUGCACCUGUUUCCUCAUCUGUGAAAUGGGGACAAUAAUAGUUCCUAUCUCAUAGAUUGCAAUUCAGGAAUAGAUGAGUUAAAAUAUGGAAAGUAUGUGAAGCAGCACCUGGCACCGUAAUAAACGCUGAGUGACAGUUG
rnacentral:lncRNA from 1 species